rnacentral:rRNA from 1 species
GUAGUUGAAUUUUAGCCCUGGCUGGGUGGUCCACCAAUUGGCUGGCGCUGCUCUGGCUGGGGUUCACUUUCUGGCGAGCCGUCAUGCCCUUUACUGGGUGUGGCGGGGAGCCAGGACUUUUACUUUGAAAAAAUUAGAGUGUUUAAAGCAGGCCUACGCUUGAAUACAUUAGCAUGGAAUAAUAGAAUAGGACCUCGGUUCUAUUUUGUUGGUUUCUAGGACCGAAGUAAUGAUUAAUAGGGAUAGUUGGGGGCAUUAGUAUUUAGUAGCUAGAGGUGAAAUUCUUGGAUUUACGAAAGACUAACUUCUGCGAAAGCAUUUGCCAAGGAUGUUUUCAUUAAUCAAGAACGAAAGUUAGGGGAUCGAAGACGAUCAGAUACCGUCGUAGUCUUAACCAUAAACUAUGCCGACUAGGGAUCAGACGAUGUUAAUUUACUGACUCGUUUGGCACCUUAUGAGAAAUCAAAGUUUUUGGGUUCCGGGGGGAGUAUGGUCGCAAGGCUGAAACUUAAAGGAAUUGACGGAAGGGCACCACCAGGAGUGGAGCCUGCGGCUUAAUUUGACUCAACACGGGGAAACUCACCAGGUCCAGACAUAGGAAGGAUUGACAGAUUGAGAGCUCUUUCUUGAUUCUAUGGGUGGUGGUGCAUGGCCGUUCUUAGUUGGUGGAGUGAUUUGUCUGCUUAAUUGCGUUAACGAACGAGACCUUAACCCGCUAAAUAGUUAUGCCAACCUUCGUUGGUAGCCAACUUCUUAGAGGGACUGUCGGCGAUUAGCCGACGGAAGUUUUAGGCAAUAACAGGUCUGUUAUGCCCUUAGAUGUCCUGGGCCGCACGCGCGCUACACUGAUGAAGUCAACGAGUUUAUAACCUUGGCCGGAAGGU